rnacentral:sRNA from 1 species
UUCUAGCCCUGAUGGUAACGGCAUCCUAUUGUGGCGGUGUUCGCCGCAAUAGAUAUAGUGGACAGCAGGAAAUAGC